CAGUCGCCACGGGAAUACGUAGGGUGCAAGCGUUAAUCGGAAUUACUGGGCGUAAAGCGUGCGCAGGCGGUUUGUUAAGACAGAUGUGAAAUCCCCGGGCUCAACCUGGGAACUGCAUUUGUGACUGGCAAGCUAGAGUGUGGCAGAGGGGGGUGGAAUUCCGCGUGUAGCAGUGAAAUGCGUAGAUAUGCGGAGGAACACCGAUGGCGAAGGCAGCCCCCUGGGCCAACACUGACGCUCAUGCACGAAAGCGUGGGGAGCAAACAGGAUUAGAUACCCGAGUAGUCCCUGUCUCUUAUCU
rnacentral:rRNA from 1 species